ACUAAAUAGAUACCCUGGUAGUCCACGCGGUAAACGAUGAAUACUAGGCGUAGGUGGAGUGAAAUCCAUCUGUGCCGAAAGCAAACGCGAUAAGUAUUCCGCCUGGGGAGUACGGCCGCAAGGCUAAAACUCAAAGGAAUUGACGGGGGCCCGGCACAAGCAGCGGAGCGUGUGGUUUAAUUACGAUGCAACACGAAGAACCUUACCUGGGUUUGUACAUCUGCGUAGUAGUGAACUGAAAGGGGUAACGGACUCUUCGGUAGAGCGCAGACAGGUGCUGCAUGGCUGUCGUCAGCUCGUGUCGCGAGAUGUUGGGUUAAGUCCCGCAACGAGCGCAACCCCGUACUUGCCAGUUACAAGUGUCUGGCGAGACUGCCGGUAGAAAACCCGGAGGAAGGUGGGGAUGACGUCAAGUCAGCAUGGCCGUUUAUAUCCAGGGGCUACACACACGGCUACAAUGGGUCGGUACAGAGGGAAGCUAAGGGGUCGACCUGGAGCGAAUCCCAUCAAACGCCGUUCGUAGUUCAGAUUGCAGGCUGCAA
rnacentral:rRNA from 1 species